rnacentral:tRNA from 1 species
GCCUGGGUGGCUCAGCCAGUUGAGCGUCUGACUUCAGCUCAGGUCAUGAUCUUGCAGUUUGUGAGUUCGAGCCCCGUGUCGGGCU